CGCCACGCGGCACUCUUCUUCACGCGUCAGCGUAUACCGAAGUCCCGCUGCACAAAAAAAACACGUCGUUAGUAAGAAUACAAGUUCAAGCAUGUAAGCACGCCAAACAUUUUCAGCGGACACCGGCCACCAACCUCGAAUAGGUUGGAACUCAGACUUAAUCCUAAAUGACGGCCCUUCUUCGUUAGACCUAGCGUGGUACUCCCAACCGUCGGUAGCGACG
rnacentral:lncRNA from 1 species